rnacentral:rRNA from 1 species
UACUCCCGCCGGCGACCGGCGCACGGGUGAGUAACACGUAUGAAACCUGCCCGUAGCAGGGGGAUAAGCGGAAGAAAUUCCGUCUAAUACCGCGUAACAACCCGAGGAGGCAUCUCCUCGGGUUUAAAGGAAGCGAUUCCGGCUACGGAUGGUCAUGCGUCGCAUUAGCUAGUCGGCGGGGUAACGGCCCACCGAGGCGACGAUGCGUAGGGGUUCUGAGAGGAAGGUCCCCCACACUGGUACUGAGACACGGACCAGACUCCUACGGAAGGCAGCAG